rnacentral:rRNA from 1 species
CGUGAGGGAAAGGUGAAAAGAACCCCGGGAGGGGAGUGAAAUAGUACCUGAAACCUUGUGCUUACAAGCAGUCACAGCCCGUUAACGGGUGGUGGCGUACUUUUUGUAGAACGGUCCGGCGAGUUAUAGUCACUAGCGAGCUUAAGGUAUUCAGUACCGGAGGCGUAGGGAAACCGAGUCUGAACAGGGCGUAUGAAGUUAGUGGCCAUAGACCCGAAACCAUGUGACCUAGCCAUGAGCAGGAUGAAGUGGAGGUAAAGCUCCAUGGAGGUCCGAACGCACGUUCGUUGCAAUGACCGGCGAUGACUUGUGGCUAGCGGUGAAAUUCCAAUCGAACUUGGAGAUAGCUGGUUCUCCCCGAAAUAGCUUUAGGGCUAGCGUUGGCAAUGAGUUUCCCGGAGGUAAAGCACUGAAUGAGCUAGGGGGCGCGAGCUUACUGAACUCUAUCAAACUAAGAAUGCCGGAGAAAUGCUUACCAGCAGUCAGACUGCGAGUAAUAAAAUCCGUGGUCAAAAGGGAAACAGCCCAGACCCACAGCUAAGGUCCCAAAUAUACGCUAAGUGGAAAACGAUGUGAGAUUGCAUAAACAACCAGGAUGUUGGCUUAGAGGCAGCCACUCGUUCAAAGAGUGCGUAAUAGCUCACUGGUCGAGUGAUCUUGCGCGGAAAAUUUAACGGGGCUAAGCGUAUAACCGAAGCUUGGGAAUGUCGAAAGACAUUGGUAGGGGAGCGUCGUGUAUGGGGUGAAGUCGCAUCGGAAGGAGCGGUGGACUGUACACGAGUGAGAAUGCCGGAAUGAGUAGCGAGAAUUAUGUGGGAAUCAUAAUGGCCGAAAAUCUAAGGUUUCUUGGGGAAGGUUCGUCCGCCCAAGGUAAGCCGGGAGCUAAGGCGAGGCCGCAAGGCGUAGUCGAUGCACAUACGGUUGAAAUUCCGUAGCCACCUUAUUGAUAAAAAGCUGACACAUGGAGAUAGCGGGACCCGGGCGUUGGUUGACCCGGGCGUAAGGGACCGAAAUCAAGUAGGGAAGUCCGCGAUGCUCUGUGGCGAGAAAAGGCGAAGAUAAGGUGCCCGUACCGCAAACCGACACAGGUAGAUGAGGAGAGAAUCCUAAGGCCAACGGGAGAAGGGUUGUCAAGGAACUCGGCAAGUUGACCCCGUAACUUCGGAAGAAGGGGAGCCUCGAAAGAGGCCGCAGUGAAUAGGCCCAGGCAACUGUUUACCAAAAACACAGGUCUAUGCUAAAUCGAAAGAUGACGUAUAUGGGCUGACGCCUGCCCGGUGCCGGAAGGUUAAGAGGAGAUGUCAGCGCAAGCGAAGCAUUGAAUUGAAGCCCCGGUAAACGGCGGCCGUAACUAUAACGGUCCUAAGGUAGCGAAAUUCCUUGUCAGGUAAG